rnacentral:rRNA from 1 species
UCGAGAAUUUUUCUCAAUGGGGGAAACCCUGAAGGAGCGACGCCGCGUGGGGGAUGAAGGACUUCGGUUCGUAAACCCCUGUCACCUGGGAACAAAACCUGCAACCUAACACGUUGCAGGCUGAUAGUACCAGGAGAGGAAGGCACGGCUAACUCUGUGCCAGCAGCCGCGGUAAUACAGAGGUGCCAAGCGUUGUUCGGAUUUAUUGGGCGUAAAGGGUGCGUAGGUGGUGAUGCAAGUCGGGUGUGAAAUCCCGGAGCCUAACUCCGGAAUGGCAUUCGAAACUGCAUCGCUCGAGGUCUGGAGAGGUGACUGGAAUUCUCGGUGUAGCAGUGAAAUGCGUAGAUAUCGAGAGGAACACCAGAGGCGAAAGCGAGUCACUGGACAGAACCUGACACUGAGGCACGAAAGCCAGGGGAGCAAACGGGAUUAGAUACCCCCGUAGUCC